AGUGAACGCUGGCGGUAGGCCUAACACAUGCAAGUCGAACGGCAGCACAGUAAGAGCUUGCUCUUACGGGUGGCGAGUGGCGGACGGGUGAGGAAUACAUCGGAAUCUACUUUUUCGUGGGGGAUAACGUAGGGACACUUACGCUAAUACCGCAUACGACCUACGGGUGAAAGCAGGGGAUCUUCGGACCUUGCGCGAUUGAAUGAGCCGGUGUCGGAGUAGCUAGUUGGCGGGGGAAAGGCCCACCAAGGCGGCGAUCCGUAGCUGGUCUGAGAGGAUGAUCAGCCACACUGGAACUUAGACACGGUCCAUACGCCUACGGGAGGCAGCAGUGGGGAAUAUUGGACAAUGGGCGCAAGCCUGAUCCAGCCAUACCGCGUGGGUGAAGAAGGCCUUCGGGUUGUAAAGCCCUUUUGUUGGGAAAGAAAAGCAGCAGGUUAAUACCCCGCUGUUCUGACGGUACCCAAAGAAUAAGCACCGGCUAACUUCGUG
rnacentral:rRNA from 1 species